rnacentral:rRNA from 1 species
UACGAAGGGGGCUAGCGUUGCUCGGAAUCACUGGGCGUAAAGCGCACGUAGGCAGAUUGUUAAGUCAGGGGUGAAAUGCCAAGGCUCAACCUUGGAACUGCCUUUGAUACUGGAGACCUUGAGUCCGGGAGAGGUGAGUGGAAUUGCGAGUGUAGAGGUGAAAUUAGUAGAUAUUCGCAAGAACACCAGUGGCGAAGGCGGCUCACUGGCCCGGAACUGACGCUGAGACGCGAAAGCUAGGGGAGCAAACAGG